CCUCUCGCUUCCAGCUGCUCGGGUUCCAGGCGGCCCAGAAGCGACCCCUUUUUGCUCCCGGUGGGUGCUGGCCCUCGUCUCCCGACCCAGGGGUCCAGGCGGGACAUGGCCACGGCCACUGUGGCAGCAGCAAGACGAGGCUUCUGCCGAGCCCGUCCGCUCCUCCUCCGGCGCGGUUACCAGACGGAGAAGGGCGUCUAUGGCUACCGGCCGAGGAAGCCCGAGAGCCGGGAGCCCCGGGGCGGCCUGGCGCGCCCUCCAGUUGAUCAUGGCCUUGCCAGAUUGGUGACAAUAUACUGUGAACAUGGUCAUAAAGCUGCCAAAAUCAACCCCCUCUUCAGUGGACAAGCCUUGCAGGAGAAUGUGCCUGAAAUCCAAGCUCUUGUGCAGACCCUGCAGGGACCCUUUAAUACCACAGGAUUAUUGAACAUGGGGAAGGAGGAGGCCUCUCUUGAGGAAGUAUUGGCCUAUCUCAACCAAAUCUACUGUGGGCAGAUUUCUAUUGAAACCUCCCAACUUCAGAGCCAGGAGGAGAAAGACUGGUUUGCCAAGCGAUUUGAAGAACUGAAAAAAGAGACUUUUAGCACAGAAGAGCGAAAACACCUGUCAAAACUAAUGCUAGAAUCUCAGGAGUUUGACCACUUUUUGGCCACCAAGUUUGCCACAGUGAAGCGGUAUGGGGGUGAAGGAGCCGAAAGCAUGAUGGGCUUUUUCCACGAGUUGCUGAAAAUGUCAGCCUACAGCGGGAUAACGGAUGUGAUUAUUGGCAUGCCCCACAGAGGGAGGCUUAAUUUAUUGACAGGCCUUCUGCAGUUCCCUCCAGAGCUGAUGUUCCGUAAAAUGAGAGGCUUAAGUGAAUUUCCGGAAAAUGUUUCAGCCACUGGAGAUGUCCUGUCUCACUUGACCUCCUCGGUUGACCUGGACUUCGGCGCGCACCAUCCCCUCCACGUGACCAUGCUCCCUAACCCCUCGCACCUGGAAGCUGUCAACCCUGUGGCCGUGGGGAAGACUCGAGGAAGGCAGCAGUCUAGACAGGACGGGGACUACUCUCCAGACAGUUCGGCUCAGCCUGGGGACAAAGUUGUUUGCUUACAGGUUCACGGUGAUGCAUCUUUCUGUGGUCAGGGGAUUGUUCCCGAAACAUUUACGCUGUCUAAUCUCCCACAUUUCAGAAUUGGUGGGAGUGUCCAUCUGAUUGUCAAUAACCAGCUGGGUUACACCACUCCUGCAGAAAGAGGAAGGUCUUCCUUAUACUGCAGUGAUAUCGGGAAGCUUGUGGGCUGCGCCAUCAUCCAUGUCAAUGGAGAUAGCCCAGAGGAAGUGGUCCGUGCCACACAGCUGGCUUUUGAAUACCAGCGCCAUUUCCGGAAGGAUGUGAUUGUUGAUCUGUUAUGCUACAGGCAGUGGGGCCACAAUGAGCUGGACGAGCCCUUCUUCACCAACCCAGUCAUGUACAAAAUCAUCAGAGCCCGAAAGAGCAUCCCAGACACCUAUGCAGAGCACCUGAUUGCUGAUGGACUCAUGACUCAGGAAGAGGUGUUGGAAAUCAAAUCCUCCUACUACGCGAAGUUAAAUGACCAUUUAACCAACAUGGCGCACUAUAGCCCCCCGGCCACCAACCUGCAGGCCCACUGGCAGGGCCUGGUCCAGCCGCCAGCCUGCAUUAGCACCUGGGACACGGGUGUUCCCCUCGACCUCCUGCGGUUUAUUGGCUUGAAGUCCGUGGAGGUGCCAGAGGACCUCCAGAUGCACAGUCACCUUCUGAAGAUGUAUGUUCAGUCCAGACUGGAGAAAGUGAUGGAUGGAACAAAGUUAGACUGGGCCACGGCAGAAGCUCUUGCCUUGGGCUCAUUACUUGCUCAGGGUUUUAAUGUGCGUCUGAGUGGGCAAGAUGUUGGCCGUGGAACUUUUAGUCAGAGGCACGCAAUGGUUGUUUGCCAGAGGACCGAUGACACCUAUAUCCCUCUGAACCAUAUGGAUCCGAAUCAGAAGGGGUUUCUAGAGGUCAGCAACAGCCCCUUGUCAGAAGAAGCUGUCCUGGGAUUUGAAUAUGGAAUGAGCAUUGAAAGCCCCAAGUUACUGCCCCUCUGGGAGGCUCAGUUUGGUGAUUUCUUCAAUGGUGCGCAGAUCAUUUUUGACACGUUCAUCUCUGGAGGGGAGGCCAAGUGGCUCCUACAGAGCGGCAUUGUUAUUCUCCUUCCCCACGGGUACGACGGGGCUGGACCUGACCACUCCUCUUGCCGCAUAGAGCGGUUCCUGCAGAUGUGUGACAGCAUCGAACAGGGGGUAGAUGGAGACACGGUGAACAUGUUCGUGGUGCACCCGACUACUCCUGCACAGUAUUUCCACUUGCUCAGGAGACAGAUGGUCCGGAACUUCCGAAAACCCCUCAUCGUUGCUUCUCCGAAGAUGUUACUCAGGUUCCCUGCAGCUGUGUCAACUCUUCAAGAAAUGGCACCAGGAACAACAUUCAAGCCGGUCAUUGGCGAUUCAUCUGUGGAUCCCAAAAAGGUCAAGAGUCUAGUGUUCUGCUGCGGCAAACAUUUCUACGCCCUGCUGAAGCAAAGAGAAUCCUUGGAGGCCAAGAAGCAUGACUUUGCCAUCAUCCGUUUAGAGGAACUCUGUCCUUUCCCACUGGAUUUGUUACAGCAAGAGAUGAGCAGAUACAAACAUGUUAAAGAUUUUAUUUGGAGUCAGGAGGAGCCUCAGAACAUGGGUCCAUGGUGCUUUGUGUCUCCAAGGUUUGAAAAGCAACUGGCCUGCAAGGAGUGGCUGUUUGCAGCUCUGCUAUGAGAAGGAGGCUGAGCCCAUAUCCAGGAAGGCUCAGUGGAGAAAGAAGGCUACAGCUGAUUAGCCAUGUCUGCCACGGGAGCUGGAAAGUAUAUAUGGUAGGGUGACCCAGGACUAGUUUAAAAUAAGCCUAAAGUGAAUCACUACUCUUCUCUGCUCUGAAUCAUAUUUGAGUAAAAUCAAAGGGUAACAAAAUAGGAAAUAUUAGUCUUUAAAAUGUUCUUUCAAACUAUGUCAGGCUAAAAACAUUAAACAAGAGCAUUUUUAUAAUUAAUCAAUGACUUUUUUCAUUCAUAGGUUAUAUGCACACAUUAAAAAUAAAAGACUAAUGAUUUAAUUUAAGCUAUGUUACCAUUAUAUAAAUCCUAUUUAAGUAUGAGAUAAUUACAGUAAUAAUGAUCCAUAUGUUAUUGGUGCAGGAGCUUUAGAAUUCCAGUUGUAAUAGUCAGAAGAAAUUAGUUCCCGGUGUGUACUUAUUUUUGGUUUUCCUGAUGCAAAAACUUGAACUGAAUGCUGAUUCGCAUAACAACCAGUGAGUGUAUAAUCUGCGAUCUUAAAAUGAAGCUUUAAAUAUGCUGUACCUCCAGUGCAAAUCUCAUCAAAUGGCUGCUUCUCAUGACUCUUGGCUCCAAAAGUGACAGUUCCAGAAAGACUAAUUUCCAUUGAUUUGGGGAACUUCUGUCCAAUAAUCCAGAUCAAUAAGCUUUUCUCUCGAGAUACUGCAAGCUGGCCAAAACUACCUUUGUAUUCCACAUGUGUGAUUGGACCUCUAUUAUAAAAAGGACUGGGACCUGCGAAGUAUAGUAGCAUAAGUUGAAUGACUCUAAAGGAGAAGUGAAUGGAAAUUUGUAAGGUCCACUAAAUGCAGAAUCGUCCACUGCAUCAAUGCUACUAGAAGUCAGAAUAGCAGAGUCAAGAGAAGUCACACAAGGAUGAACUAGAAUAUCCUGAAGUGGAGACCCACUGGUGGGGAGACUCAAGCUGAUGGUAACAUUUGGCAUGAUUCCUUCUAAAUCACACUUGCAAGUGACAGCUCCAACAACCUGCCAUGUAUCUGCUAUAUCCCGUUUAUCAUAUUGCAUGGAUUUUACCUUUUCAGUGAUAGAAAUAGAAACUUGUGGUUUUCCUUUGUAUGUUCCAACUUUCCAGGCUGGCUGUUUUUGUGGCUGUGUCACAGAAGCAAAAUUAAUACUAUUCAGUGAAUUCUGUAAGUUGGCAUCUAACAAAGUUCCAAAUGGACAAGCUUGUAGAAGCAAAUCAGGCAGCUGGUUCAAUUUUUUGUUUAACUCAGGGUCAUUUUUGACCCAAGUGAAGAAAAUCCUGUAUCCCAAAAAGAAGUUCAAAGCUUUGUGAAAUUCCAUGAAUGCUAAUUAAUGGUGGACAAGGGGAUAAAGUUUGUUCAACUAGUGGAACACAAGCAUAUAUCCUGUUAUUCUUCAGAAAAGCAACAACUGGCCAGAGUUCUCCACCUCCUACUAGGAGUUCAUAGACAGAUGUUUUAUUGAUGUGUGAACAGCUAUCAUGACUUUCUGUGAAGUCUUACCAUCAUCCAAUAAUCUAAGUUCAAAAAGCAGUGCUUUAAGAAAGGGACCAUCUUCAGGAAUAGGCACAUAACUUGUUCCAUUGAAGACUUUGGCUCAUUUUUCAACAGUUGGAUACCCUCUAGAAUGCCGAGAAGCAUUCCUCCCCAGGAACCCAGUACUUUCUUCCUCUAAGGGCCACUUCCAGGAUGGUGGCCCACGAGGAUCAUGGUUCCUCACUCGCCCCAGUGACGAGCCUCUCCGCGGUUCACCGGCUGCCUGCCGGUCCAGUUCUUUUAAAGAUAAACUAAACUAUAAAAUCUAACUUAGGCUAUUUUUUCGGAAUAAAAUGCUGAAUGUUUAUCAAGAUACAUAUGUGUAUGUGCUAGUAUCAUAUAAGAAAAAGUGAUUAUACUUAAACUAAAAGCCCUUACCUGUCAGCUACCUUUCCCACUAGUCUUGUCCUAAAGGUCACAAUCCAAGCCCUGGGGAGCCAGGGUGACGAGCAGGCUUGGUUUACAAUAUGGGAGAAGAGGUGCCCGCUAACGCUUCUUUGAGGCUCAUGUGCAUAGCUCAUGCACAUAGUCCAUCAAAGGCCACAUUCUUGGUUAGACUGUCGGGAGGGAAGAACAAUGAGAAGAGCAAAUGGGCUUCUGUUUAUCUUCCUAUUCUGCUUUGAUUAGAAGUCAGUUCACACAUUUGUUACUAGUUUGCUGGGUCAGAUCAUUUUAAUUUGUUUUACUUUAGGAAACUCUAUUGCUGAAAUCAGCUAAUAGUUACUGAAGAAUAGGACAAAUUCAAGCAUUGAUCUCCCCUUAUGGUGCCUGGAAUUGAGUUUUUAGUUGUGACAAAUAUCUCCUUCCGGUCUAUUCUAGGUAACCCGUUAUUUUUCCAGAAAGGUGAUUUGUGGUUAAACAAGCUAAGAGAAAUGCAUACACUGCCUCGGGAGAAUAAAGCAGGGCUCUGAUCAGGUCAAAAGGUCAUUUUUUUUCUUUUCUGCUCUAAUCAUAGCUCCGUCUUGUGAGCCGACCCCCUCUCUCAGCCCCUGCUGUAGGAAUUGGUACCCUUCAUCUGCAGCAGCAUGAAGACGUCCUCACCAAGACCUUUGCUUGAUGGUGUCCUUUGAGCCAGCAUUCCUUCCUUUUACGAAAACAACCAUGGAAAGAAAAGCCGGCUCCUCUACUCUCUUCUUCCGUUAGGUGACAUGAAAAUCUGUGUUCCUCUAAGACGUUGGGAUUGAUCAGGACAGUUUAAUUGGAAUACACAGAAUAGCCAAGGGAAUUAUCCAUCAAUCCAUGAAUCUGACGAGUCACCUUUAUCCUUAAAGGUACAACAGCGUUAUGUUUUGCUUAGAUCUGAGUGAGUUGGAGAGCUAGUGCCUUACCCAGACUUCAUCAGACUGUGUUUUCUCAUUAACUGUAUAUGCCCAGGAAAGAUUCUUUAGUUUGAAUUUACAGAACUUACAUACAGAUCACCUCGGCAUUACUUCUCAGUUUGCUUGAUGCAUGUCAUUUUCAUUAAUUUUGCAAUUCUUUAUUCAAAGUCCUGUGACUACCAAUAUUUUCAUUUUAUGUGAUCUCAGGUGCUGCUUCCCAGCCGCUGUGGAAAAUGUUUCAGCAAACGCUGUAGCAAACUAUACUAGUCCUGAUGCAUGUUCUUCAAGGGAAUUGUUUUCACCCAUUGUCCUUAAAUAUCCACCCCAUUACAGACGACUCUGGAUGUACAAUCUUUUGGCACAGUAUUAUUAAGGAGUUUUAGCUACAGUGAAAUUGAUUUGUGGUCUACUUUGUCAUAGUAUCUUUUUUUCCCCCUAAAUUGUUAUUGCAGUGAUAUCUUAAUAUUUUUAAUUGACCUUCGGUAUCUGACAUGGGGAUUUCAGCUCCUGGUUAGUCCGUCUUGCGGCUAAAAGGUGUGAUGAAGUGAUGUUGUUCAUUCAUGGUGUUUAAGGAGCAUUUUAACUUUGACACUGGAAACUUCCCAGCACCAGGUUCUUGGGGGUUUAUGGAGAUCACCAACCCACUGCAUUACUUCUGAAACUUCAUAGAAAUAUAACUAAACAGCAGCAAGUUGUGUAUGUAGCUUUACGUGACUUGGUGCUGCAGAGGCUCGGCCAUCUACCAUUCUGGUGCCACGACAGUUUUUCUCAGAAAUAAUGGGGAAAUGGCGGAGCACUGGAACGGCCUCUCCACUUUUCCUGGCAACUGGUGACAUCUUUCAAAAUCAACAUGUAGGUUGUUCGGGCCACAGGAGUAGAUUCGUGAUUCACAUCUUAACUGUAUGCAUUAGUGUAUUGAUUUAAUAUUUCUGUAAUAUUCACAGCCCUUUUAUUCCUAUGCACCUUAAUGCUUCCUUCCUGUGUCAAGCCUCAUAAGUCAAGUAACUUGGGGCCAUGCAAGUAAGUCGGUACAAUUACAAAGGUCUAUUUAAUGAAAACGGUUAUCAAUGUUGUAUACUGAAGUAGAAAAACAGGAAAGCCCUGUAAUUUUUUUCAGAUCUCUUGGUUUCUUGAUUCAAAAGUCUAAGCACAAAAUGAGCUGGAAAACUAGUGUUGGUUUUUUUUUUUUUAAAGUUUAGAUUUCUCUGAGUAUCUCUGGUAUCUUAAAUAUUCUCCACCAUGAGCCAUGAAAUGUGUCUUCUAAAAAAAAAAAAAAAGUGUCUUCUGUAUCUUAACCUUCUUACUCUCAAUCACUAUUGCAACAUGGGUCAGCAUUUUGAAUUACUUUGCAGGAAGGGACCAAAUCAAAUACUCCCGUAAUAAAGUAGGGGAUAAAAAUAUCAUAGCAAAGUAAAAUAAAAAUACUUUAUUCCUCUGAGAAAUUUGAUAAUGUGAUAUUUGCAUCCUGUUUAUAUCUAUCUAUGCUAGUUUCAUACUCAAUGAAGAAUAGAGCUCAAAUUGAGUAUUCAUUGAAGUAUUAACAACCAUGAAAAAAAUGUUGAUUUUGUCUAAAAUGACAUGUUCUUAGUAAAAUAAAAUUUUCUUCCUUAAGAAC